UUAAAGUCUAAUCUGCCCUAUGAGGAUUUAAAUGGCCGCGGUAUUUUGACCGUGCAAAGGUAGCAUAAUAAUUAGUUUUUUAAUUGAAAGCUAGCAUGAAUGAUUGGACGAGAAAAUAGCUGUCUCAAUUUAAUUUUUUUAGAAUUUUAUUUUUAAGUAAAAAAGCUUAAAUUUAAUUAAAAGACGAGAAGACCCUAUAGAGUUUUAUAAUUAUUUUAUUAUAAAUUUUCAAGAAUUUUUUUAUUUAUAUUGAAUUAAUUAUUUUAUUGGGGCGAUAGAAAAAUUUGAUUAACUUUUUUUAUUAUUUAAACAUUAAUUUAUGAUAAAUUGAUCCAUUUUUUAUGAUUACAAGAUUAAGUUACCUUAGGGAUAACAGCGUAAUUUUUUUUUAGAGUUCUUAUCGAAAGAAAAGAUUGCGACCUCGAUGUUGGAUUAAAAUUUAUAUUUGGUGUAGGAGCUAAAUAAUUAGGUCUGUUCGACCUUUAAAAUUUUACA
rnacentral:rRNA from 1 species